AAAUUAAGAAUAUUACAGAAUAUCCAGUGAGGAAUAGAUAAACUUGUAAUGAUUUCUGAAUUGCGUAUUGAUAAACGAUUCAGAAAAUAAUUAACCAUUCCAUAACAACCAUUGAACAAGUAAUUUAUACAUGUAUCAUUUUCUACACCCAACACAACCAAUCAACCAAUCAAAACUAAAACUCUCUCUCUUAAUACUAUACGCAAAUCCUCAUCAUCUUCUUUGUCUUUACACGCCAACAUCAAAAAGAAAAAUGGAAACACAAAAAAGUGAAAUACAUAUUUAUAUAUUAUUGAAAGAAAUUCAUAAAGAAUUGACUGGUAAGUGGAAUUAGCGCCGCCACAUAACGUCACCAACACAACUCUACAGCUGUUAUCCAACGCAUACCGGCGCAAACUAGAAUCCAUGGCGCAUCUUUUUCUUUCUUUCUUUUCUCACCCAACUGCGAUCACCGCCAUGUCCUUAUUACGGGACCCGUCCAUCGCCAACGGCUUACCGGACCGGGAAACGGAGGCGUAACGGGAAGAGAAAUCGUGAAAGCCACCGUAAUCGUCUUCCUCGUCGAAAUUACUACUCUGACCGGGACCUUCAUCGAAGUUCAAAGCGUAACUCAAAGGAUCGUAUUGGAACUUGCCGUGCCUGCCGUUGCCACUACUUCUGCUUCUAUUAAAUCUCCGGAUGAAAGUCUUCCACUUGGGACCAGCGACAAUCUCCGACCAUUCUCGGAUCUUCUUGAUAGCCCUAAGACCAGUGUGCCACCAUGGAUUAUCGUCGCUAUGACGUCUUGACGAUCGGAUUCGCUCCCACCAGGCCAACCCGACGGAGGAAGAACGACGGGAACCGAAGCAGGGGAAACAGAAGCAGCAGCGGGUGUUUGCGAGUAAAGAAUUGGAUGAUUGCUCGGGGAUGGAGUCUGGGUCUACAUGGGCCAUUUCUGGGUCUUCUGUGCCCAUAAAGCCAAUAGAAGUCUAAUCAAGCCUAAUUAGCGAGAGGGACUUGUCUCUGCAGAGGGUAUAUGAAGAGAUGGAUUGUAACGGAAAGUUACGGGGAACCGGGAAGUGCCGGUUACGGAGCGGAAGAGAUUUUUUUAGUGGGAGUCAGGGCUUAGUCCAUAUUUGUUAGAAAACGUGGACAAUAGAGUUGGUAGUGAUCGGGUGCUUCGCGAGGUCAAUUUGGUGGAAUUUUGAUUGGGCCGUAAUAUGAAGUGUCCUGACGAGGAAGGAUGGUGGGUCUAGUUUAAUUUUUGUUUUUAUUUGCUUUGUUUGAUUCUUGGAGCUGC
rnacentral:misc_RNA from 1 species